CGAAUGGAUUGAGGUACAGGUGCAAAAGUUUUUAAAACAUUUGAACCACUAAAAGCUUUUUGUUUACUUAUUGUAAGACGUGUGUAGCAACUGUCUUUAUUUAGAUCAAGGUGUGUAUACCAAAGGUUAGCUUAAGAUAAACUUAUUUCUAAAGGGAGUCCUAAUAUGUCACUUGUUACAUCUUUCCUUUUUCAAUUAAUUAAUAAUAUACAAAAUCUGGAUGAUUCGUCUUUUUAACUGUUCGGCCAGAUCGGGUUGUCCCAAUGUUGCCAUUCUCUUGAACACCUGUCAAGUUUUUCUCGGAAUCCCUGCAGGAAAGUGUAUCGCUGUCAAGUUGGGAUCGCUGUGUCGUUUCGCUUUGCUUUUCCUCUUCACUGCUGUCGCAUUCUCUACUGUGGGAUAAACCUCUGCUAGUAUUGUCAUUCGCCUUACGCCGACGUAGAUGCUCCCGAAGUACUUCUGCUGGCGCCCACCGAUGCGAUUUCGGAUCCUGCACUAGAACUUUAUCGCCUUCCGAGAAUCUUGGUGGAUCUUGUGCGCCUCUAUCUGCAUAGGACUUCUGCAACAGUCUUUCUCGUAGUAAUGCAUCUUUCACGUUAGUCACUACCUUGGGUUUCAGCAUGCUGAGUGUCAUUGGUAAAUCAGAUCGGACAAGUCGACCGAAAAGCCUUUCGUUCGGCGAAGGAAUAUUAUCAUUACGUGGAGUGUUUCUAGCAUGCAGCAGGGCCAGAUUAAUAUCUGAUUUAUCCUCGAAGCACUUCUUUAGAAUGUUUUUAGCCACCUGAACGAAUCGUUCAGCCAAACCGUUAGCACGGGGAAAGUGUGGACUUGAAGUUUGGUGUUCGAAAGCCCACGAUUUCGAAAACUCCCGGAAUUUUUCUGAACAAUAUUGUGGGCCGUUAUCUGUUUCCAGAACUUGUGGAAUCCCAUGAAUCGAGAACCAUGAUUUUAGCUCACGAAUGACAUUUUCAGAUGUUGCUUCUGCCAACCGCUUGAAAUCAAAGAAGUUAGAGUAGCUAUCCACGAUUAGAAUAUAAUCGCCGUCACGGAAGUGAAACAAGUCUGAUGCAACUGUUUGAGAUGGCAGGUCCGGAACUUCUUUAGUAAUGAUAAUGUUCUUUACGUUACUACGCUGAUGAUGCUGACACACGUUACAUCCCUCGACCAACUGCUGAAUAUCUCUGUUCAUGUUUAUCCAAAAUAAAAUUUGUUUUGCUCUUCUGA